rnacentral:lncRNA from 1 species
CUUUUUCCAAAUCAUACUGGUUCUGUAAAACAAAAACAUAGUUAGUGAUUAUACUAAAAUUAUUGAGUUUGUGGCAAAAAAUGCUCUUGCAAGUUUUCAUUUCUGUGAAGAUAAUGUUAUUCACACUAGGUUUCUGAUUUCCUUAUAUACUUCUGGGAAAAGAUAAUUAAAUUAAAUGUCUAAAUUUUAAAACCAGUGUCUUUAAAUAAGAUAAUCUGCUUUGUAACCAUGGUUAGCAUUCCAAUAGAUGUGUUUAUAAGCUAUGAUAUGUCUAUCAACACAUUUACUGGAGCUGUGUUGAAAUACCAUAAUUAGUUCAAGUAAUGUCAAGUACAGAGGGACUUCCAGCAGGUUUGUUUUGGUAAAGAGCUUAUGUUUAAACGUGUAGCAGAGAAUGCAAUGUGUACUGUAAAGUGAUAGAUGUUUGACGAAGUCAGGGCCUGAUGGCAAUAAUUGAAGCAGGUUCAAACCCUACUAAGGUACAUAGAAGUCUAUACAUUCUGUAGUGUAAUGACAAUGUCCUUUGAGCUUUCCUGACUUAACUGUCCCAGCCUGAGACUUUAAUUCUGCAAGCUUGCUGCCUUCCUUUUUGGUUAAGGGUUGAUUUAUAGUGGAGUCACUCAAACAAGGGCUCAAACUGAAGUGACCACAGGCUGAUUUUUAACUAAGAGGGAUUGUUCACUAAGAGGCAUUAAGGGUGGAACUCACAGUUGUCAAGGUGUUAGUCCACAGAUUCAUCACUUUCUGGUUAUGAGUCUCUGGACCCGUAACUCAGCUCUCUACAAUUCAGUUACCAAAUCCCCCAAAUGUGGUAACAAGUUCUCCCAUCCUAUCUGAGAGGUUUGUUACAAUUAUCAAGUCAGAUAUUGAUGAAACUGAAACCUGUUAAGUGAAUGUAAGGUAAAUUUAUGUCUUAUAUUUGACUGGAUUCUAGUUGGUUUUGUCAAGAUCAUAAGCACUCAUUUGGAAAAUAUUCCCUUUGCCAACUGAGGGAUCUGCAGGGGAAAGGAAUGAGAAGAGUUUUCAAGUCAAGGCACUCAUGGAUAUUGUCAAAAUCUUCCAGAUAUUUUGAAGAGAUCAGAAUGAUCUUUCCUACUUCCCUGCAAUCACCUACCUGCACAGCUAAUAUUUUCUGAAUACUCUCCUGAGAGUCUGUCUGGAAGUUGGCCAGCCUCAUCUGGCUGAAGAGGACCACCAGUUUGAAGUGCUCCUGCCACAGUGUGUGCAUCCUUCUCUGCAGCUGACAGAGCUAAAGGGAAGAGGGAGGGGAGAAAACACAAGUCAGAGGAGGAGAGGAAAUUAAUGGCAGUGUUCAAGAAGAAUGAUGGAGGGAAAUAUAGAAAGCAGUCAAUAGCCCAUUCUGCACUGCACGGACCUGACAGGAAUUUCACAGUCUCUUGAUUUUUCAGCCCACUCAUGUGCAUUCAUCAGAAACCAGUCACAUCUGGCCGCCAGGAUGGGGGGUUAAUUUUCUCUAAAUGCCUCAGCAGUUUUGUUCUAGCUGAGGCAAACUCUGUGACUGCAAAGCUGAUGAGUAAAAUAUUUCUACUUCACCCAGUUUAACUCAAAACCGAUAGCCUUGGGACAUAUUGAACCUUUCUUGAAAAAAAUCAUCUUUUGAAGCCGUUUUGAAUGGCACAUCAGGUCAAGCCAAAGUUUAAAAAUGCAACUUUAAGACUUUGAUGGACACCAUCACUGCUUUUUUUCCUCAUAAAGCUUACCAUUGCUUGGCAAUGUGUGCUUUAGAGCAUGACAAAACUAAAGAGAAUUAACUUAGCCAUCAACUGCUGAGGGAGAACAAUAACAAGGAAGAAAUUUCCAGCUAGAACUCCCUAUUAAUCUACCUCCCUCUGACCAUGUGACAUGGAAACAUCUCACUGCACUAAAGCAUAGUGGAUGCGGUGUUAAGAAGUGACAUGUUUAAUACAGGAUCUGUACAGAAAAAGAAAGAAUUCACCUAUGACAUGUGCUAGAUCAUUUGGAAAUUUAAUAUAAAAACCAAAAGAAAACAGUGGACGUUUUAUCAAAACAAUGUACAUUUGCCCUUCACCAGUUACCGUAGGCACGCCAUACAGAAUUAUUAUAAUAAGGCAUUUUCAAAGGGAUAAACAUAAAAUUAACAGUAAAAACAGUUUCUUAAAAAUCCCAAACAUUUAUAAUGAAUGCUUAUAUUAUAUAUUUAUAAUGAAUGUAUAUAUCAUAUGUUUAUACAAUAUAAUACAUUCUGUCACUGAAAACUCUUGGUUUUGGGGAUGUGGAUAAUUGCUGAUAUCAGCUCAUUUUUAGCAUAUUUUGCAGAAUGAAAAAACAAAAUUCACAUCCAAACAUAUAAUAUCAAACACAAUUUUUAUAUUAAAUACUUCCUCAUACCAGAGUAAAAACAUGUGAAAAAUGUGGCUAUCUGAUGGGUUACAUAUGCAGGAUCCUCUGUAAAACAUCAAUAAAGAGUGUAUGUAAAAUUUGGGAAUGCUUUUGUAUAUAUAUUUCAAUAAAACAAUUCACUUAACUAAAUACUUGGUAUUGCAUGUAAAUUGUUUACCAUCAUUAUCCUCAUUAUGCAUUGUUAUAAAUAACACAUAUGUAUUUGUGUUUGGUUCCCAGGAAAAUAAAGCCUCUAUUUUUGGUUAGUUGAUUAGGAAGAAGAAAAGACUUUGAAAACUAUAGGUAUUUCAGCUUACUAAAUGCUGAAUUACAUUGUCCAGAACCAGUUUAUGGGCAUUUCAGAUAAUUUGGGCUAUUAAAUUAAAACUUAGCAUUAUUAUUUGAAGAGAAAUUUUG